AGAGCGAACGCUGGCGGCAGGCCUAAUACAUGCAAGUCGAACGGAUCCUUCGGGAUUAGUGGCGGACGGGUGAGUAACACGUGGGAACGUGCCCUUUGGUUCGGAACAACUCAGGGAAACUUGAGCUAAUACCGGAUGUGCCCUUCGGGGGAAAGAUUUAUCGCCAUUGGAGCGGCCCGCGUCUGAUUAGCUAGUUGGUAGGGUAAAGGCCUACCAAGGCUUCGAUCAGUAGCUGGUCUGAGAGGAUGAUCAGCCACACUGGGACUGAGACACGGCCCAGACUCCUACGGGAGGCAGCAGUAGGGAAUCUUGCGCAAUGGGCGAAAGCCUGACGCAGCCAUGCCGCGUGAAUGAAUGAAGGUCUUAGGAUUGUAAAAUUCUUUCAGCGGGACGAUAAUGACGGUACCGCAGAAGAAGCCCGGACUAACUUCGACGCCAGCAGCCGC
rnacentral:rRNA from 1 species